rnacentral:rRNA from 1 species
UACGUAGGGGGCAAGCGUUGUCCAGAAUCAUUGGGCGUAAAGAGCGCGUAGGCGGCCCUGUAAGUCCGCUGUGAAAGUCAAGGGCUCAACCCUUGGAUGCCGGUGGAUACUGCAGGGCUAGAGUCCGGAAGAGGCGAGUGGAAUUCCUGGUGUAGCGGUGAAAUGCGCAGAUAUCAGGAGGAACACCGAUGGCGAAGGCAGCUCGCUGGGACGGUACUGACGCUCAGGCACGAAAGCGUGGGGAGCAAACAGG